rnacentral:lncRNA from 1 species
AUGCUCCCCUCCCCCCGCCCGCUCUCUGUCUCUCUCUCCGCAUCUCUCUGGCGUGUGUGCCCGCUGGGCCGGAUGCUCUUUAAAAACGUGGAUCAGAACAGAGGAGUCCAGAGGAGAAGGUCAACGGGGGAUUGGGGGGCUGCGGGGGGGCCUGCCUGUCCCCGGAGGCGGCUCUGGGAGAGGGGGUGCCCCCAGCCGGGGCAGGGGGAGCACCGAGGAUCAGGGUGGAGCUCGGGAGAGAUGAACCUCAUGACAAGGCGACACUGUGCAGAACCAACCCCCUCUCCCCUCCCGCAGCCCCAGGCCCUGCGUCCCCAAAUUACAGCUAACGGGGGGCCAGGGGGAGGCUUGGCUGGCUCUGGCAGGGGAUCCCGAAACCCUCCUGUGGCUAGGGGUGCCCAGGAGAGCACCCCCAAAUUGGCUGGCAGCACAUGCAGGCUUAUUCCAGCCCCCCCCCGUCUCCUCCACUAUGAGCAACUCUGGAAGUGGCGGAGACACCCCCAAAAGCCUUGGAAAGGGGGCAGACCCCUCCCCCACCCUGGUUUUGCCAGCAAAGUCCUCCCCAUUGGCGCUCCCCAACCCAUGCCCUGCCCCAUGCUGGCCGAGCUACCCCCCUGGGACCCCCACCUGCCCAUCACGCCACAGAGCACCCCGCCAUGCUACCUCUUUCUUCUCCUCGUCCUCAGGCCCCCCGUCGGGGAGCUCGUUGGGGCCGGGGGGCUGAGCAGUGGGGCCGGUCGGGGGGCUAGUGCCAGCCUGGCGGGGCUCCAACUCCAUAGGCACCUCCUCCUUCUCCUCCUGGCUACUGGGAGGAAAUGGGGCGUUACUGGGGGGUGGGUGCCCUAUAUCCCUUCACUCGCUCAUCCCAAAGCCACUUCACCCCCACCCCAUCACACCCCCCAAAGCCCCAGCCCUCCUAUCACACCCCCAGCCCCUGCAACCCCAGCUCUCCCUACUCCCCCGAACUCCAUUCUUCACCCCCACCCCAUCACACGCCCAGACCCUGCACCUCCUGCUCUCCCUGCCCCCCAAACCCCAGCCCCUGCACCC